rnacentral:rRNA from 1 species
UACGGAAUGUGCAAACGUUAUUCGGAAUCACUGGGCUUAAAGAGUCCGUAGGCGGCAUGUUAGGUGAGGUGUGAAAUCCCCCGGCUCAACCGAGGAAUUGCGCUUCAAACCGGCGUGCUUGAGGAAGAUAGAGGUGGGCGGAACUGAUGGUGGAGCGGUGAAAUGCGUUGAUAUCAUCAGGAACACCGGAGGCGAAGGCGGCCCACUGGGUCUUUUCUGACGCUGAGGGACGAAAGCUAGGGGAGCAAACGGG